GUGACAAAAAGGAAGCAGCCUUCUCUAGCCCACCCAAGUUUCCAUCAAAGGAGCAAGCCUAUGUCAGUAAGAAGAAAGCUGGCUAACCCUCCCACCCCUUGUUUAACUCCUCCAGCCCAUCCCACAUCAUUGUAGAUUGAAGAGACUGCGGUUAAUAUUCAGAAAGAGGCGCAGAGAACUGAAGGCUUUCCUGACUUGACACCGAAUAAUAACGAAGGCCUGUGUGCUUUGCAGCAGCCUCCACGUCACCCUCUUCCAGUGCUCCGUCAGAGGACUAACGAUAUGCCACAAGAUGAUUGGCAGCAAGACACACCCAGUGAUGAAGGGAUGUGCUCUCCUUAAAUCACAGCCUAUUCAUCAGGUACUCCUGAGUGCUGUGUUAAGAAAUCCUGCCUACAAAGUUCCACUGAGGCUGAUAUAAAGAUGACUGUGAGAAACUGGCUGCUGCUGUCUGAGCAGAGACAGGAAUGGGGGCGGCAAAGGCGGGACAAGCAAGCAUCUUAAGUGAAAUAAUUGAUUGGACUGAUUCUGGAGUAUGACUUAUUCUGGAGGGAAUUUCUUAUUUUUGUUGCAGUUUGCUAUGGGACGGUUUCAAGGACAGGGAUUAGACUAGUUCUAGACUAAAAUAAAUGUAAGAGCUGUCCAAACUGAAAACAACUUGCACUGACAUAUCAUAAAAUACAUCAGUGUCUUUUGUGAUGCUUCAAAAUGCACACAAGUAAUGUUUUUAUUAAGACAUGUUAUUAAAACUAGUUAUAUUUCAGAAUUAAACUAAGGCCUAGUCCCGGUUUAAGAUAAUCCCUGUCCGGGAAACCACCCCAAAGUGUAAUUUGUGGAGUGUUAAAAUAAAUGAAACUGCCUUUGCAAAAACAAAGUAAAAAAAAAUUUCCAGAUGCC